AGAACUUGGGAUUGAUUUCCCAUUUGGAUUUGGGAAACCUGGGUGUUGCCAGGAGGGGCUCGAAAUUGGUUAUUGUUGAGGUGCAACUCUGGCAAGUUGAGCUUGGCUUCAGGGCCGUAUAGUUUACGAGCAGCAGCAUCAUAAGCCAUGGCAGCUUCGUGAGAGGUGUCGAAGGUACCAAGCCAGAGACGGGCACCACGAUUGGGUUCUCGAAUUUCGGCUACCCAUUUGCCCCAAGUUCUCUGGCGGACACCCUUAUAAGUGCAGAGCGCAUUCUCCGGUCCUCCUUUGCCUCUCAUGCACCCUUUCCUUGAACUAGCCUGUGCAGGCUUCCUGAUGGGUUUUUUCUCUCCGAGAGGAGUCAUGAUUGAUUUUGACAUAUUAAAA
rnacentral:misc_RNA from 1 species